UACUAGAGUAGCACUCGCAUAUCAAUAAGCGGAGGAAAAGAAACUAACAAGGAUUCCCCUAGUAACGGCGAGUGAAGCGGGAAGAGCUCAAAUUUGAAAUCUUAAAGGGUUUCCCUUUACGAAUUGUAGUUUAAAGAAGUGUUUUCUGUUGAGGUUUUGGUAAAAGUUCUUUGGAAUAGGACAUCAUAGAGGGUGAGAAUCCCGUAUUUGACCUUUACUUUCAACUUUGUGAUACACUUUCAAAGAGUCGGAUUGUUUGGGAAUGCAGUCCAAAAUGGGUGGUAAAUUUCAUCUAAAGCUAAAUAUUGGCGAGAGACCGAUAGCGAACAAGUACCGUGAGGGAAAGAUGAAAAGAACUUUGAAAAGAGAGUUAAACAGUACGUGAAAUUGUCAAAAGGGAAGCGUUUGACACCAGUGUUGUUUUUCUGAAAAUCAAUUAAAGAACUGUUUAUGCUAAGUUGUUUAGACUUUAUCAGCUAUCUGUUUAGUUUUGAGCUUUUCUUUAAUGCACUUUUCAGUUAACAAGUCAACAUCAAUUUCUUUUGCUGUAAAAAAGCUUGAGGAAGGUGGCUUGAGAUUCGUCUUAAGUGUUUAUAGCCUCUUGCCUAAUGCAGUCGGAGAGAUUGAGGUCUGCAGCGUAGAUCCUUCGGGGCUAAAUGCAUUUGUGCUAAGUUAUAGCAUUUCAUAGACAACUUGUUGACUAUGAUUUGUCUUGUAGCUUACUCGCUUAUGUUAUUUUACCUACGCUUAGGAUGUUGAGUCAUCACACAUCUCU
rnacentral:rRNA from 1 species